AACUGCCUAUGAUGAAUUUAGUUAUCCCUGUCAGAUAUAUAUGUUGACAUUAUUAUCUGAGGUAGUU